GAUCCUCUUGCGAGCAACUGAUUCGUAAUCAGUAGGUCGGUGGUUCGACUCCACUCAACAGCACCA
rnacentral:tRNA from 1 species